rnacentral:rRNA from 1 species
AGUGAACGCUGGCGGUAGGCCUAACACAUGCAAGUCGAACGGCAGCACAGUAAGAGCUUGCUCUUACGGGUGGCGAGUGGCGGACGGGUGAGGAAUGCAUCGGAAUCUACUUUUUCGUGGGGGAUAACGUAGGGAAACUUACGCUAAUACCGCAUACGGCCUACGGGUGAAAGCAGGGGAUCUUCGGACCUUGCGCGAUUGAAUGAGCCGAUGUCGGAUUAGCUAGUUGGCGGGGUAAAGGCCCACCAAGGCGACGAUCCGUAGCUGGUCUGAGAGGAUGAUCAGCCACACUGGAACUGAGACACGGUCCAGACUCCUACGGGAGGCAGCAGUGGGGAAUAUUGGACAAUGGGCGCAAGCCUGAUCCAGCCAUACCGCGUGGGUGAAGAAGGCCUUCGGGUUGUAAAGCCCUUUUGUUGGGAAAGAAAAGCAGCAGGUUAAUACCCCGCUGUUCUGACGGUACCCAAAGAAUAAGCACCGGCUAACUUCGUG